AUUGAACGCUGGCGGCAGGCCUAACACAUGCAAGUCGAGCGGAUGAGGGGUGCUUGCACCCUGAUUCAGCGGCGGACGGGUGAGUAAUGCCUAGGAAUCUGCCCGAUAGUGGGGGACAACGUGUCGAAAGGAACGCUAAUACCGCAUACGUCCUACGGGAGAAAGUGGGGGCUCUUCGGACCUCACGCUAUCGGAUGAGCCUAGGUCGGAUUAGCUAGUUGGUGGGGUAAAGGCUCACCAAGGAGACGAUCAGUAACUGGUGUGAGAGGAUGAUCAGUCACCCUGGAACUGAUACACGGUCCAGACUCCUACGGGAGGCAGCAGUGGGGAAUAUUUGACAAUGGGCGAAAGCCUGAUUCAGCCAUGCCGCGUGUGUGAAGAAGGUCUUCGGAUUGUAAAGCACUUUAAGUCGGGAGGAAGGGCUGCAGGUUAAUACCUUGCAGCCUUGACGUUACCGACAGAAUAAGCACCAGCUAACUUCGUGCCAGCAGCCGCAGUAACAC
rnacentral:rRNA from 1 species